UUUCCUUGUAGAUUCAAUGAACUCGAGAGCACUCAUAUUAGCUAAGCAAUUUGGAAUUGGACUGCUUAAAUUGUUAUGUGAUGCAUCAGAAACGUAAAGCUGACUCAAAUUGUAAAUAGGUGUAGGUGAAGAGGCUUUAGAAGAAGUUAAAC